ACUACGGGGGGCAGCAGUGGGGAAUAUUGGGCAAUGGGCGCAAGCCUGACCCAGCAACGCCGCGUGAAGGAAGAAGGCUUUCGGAUCGUAAACUUCUUUUGACAGGGAAGAGCAGAAGACGGUACCUGUCGAAUAAGCCACGGCUAACUACGUGCCAGCAGCCGCGGUAAUACGUAGGUGGCAAGCGUUGUCCGGAUUUACUGGGUGUAAAGGGCGUGUAGCCGGGCUGACAAGUCAGAUGUGAAAUCCGGGGGCUCAACCCCCGAACUGCAUGUGAAACUGUUGGUCUUGAGUAGCGGAGAGGCAGGCGGAAUUCCUAGUGUAGCGGUGAAAUGCGUAGAUAUUAGGAGGAACACCAGUGGCGAAGGCGGCCUGCUGGACGACAACUGACGGUGAGGCGCGAAAGCGUGGGGAGCAAACAGGAUUAGAUACCCCUGUAGUC
rnacentral:rRNA from 1 species